rnacentral:lncRNA from 1 species
AGGUCCUGGUGAUGGCAAGCUCACUUCCUUCUUGUGCUCCUUCCUUGUGUUGAGCUAAAAAUCCUUGUGCCUGGCAGUGUUUCUCGUCGGGUCCCAGGUGUGCCCUCCCUGGGUUUCCUGGGCAUCUGUCUCAUGCAGGACAGGAGAAGUCCAUGAGGGGUCAGAAUCCAGAGCUGGAGAGCUCCAGCACCCCCUCACAGCUCAAUCUCUUCCCUCCCCCGGGGUGCCGAGGUCUCAGAAACUUCUCAUCCUUCCACACGAUCCUUUCUGCUCUGCAGAGCCCUGCCAUUAAGCGUCUCAAAGAGACCUGGAGACAAGUUUCCAGGCGGGGAGAGUUCCUACACCUUUAAGAAGUGGUGCAGAGGAGAGCAGCACGUGAGCAAGAGACUGUUCCUGAAGGAGGCGACCUCCAUGUUGGCCACUGCACAGAGGGCCCGCCAUGGAGCCCGGGAGAGGCAGCGGCAGCAGGGUGUCAUCCCCUCCCUCGAGAUGAUCUUCAGUUACCUGGAGCUGCUGCAUAAUGAGAUGGAUUAUUAUGUGGAGGUGAGUGAGCAUGGAGGUGGGGCUGUGGGAUCAGGCUCCUGAAGAUUUGGGAGGAGAGAGUCCUGCCUGAGCCCUGAGCUCUCACACUUGGAAAGGUCCUCUCUGCAGAGACUCCCAGCCUCCUGUGGAAGCCAGGACAUCAGGCCCAUCUCAGCAACGAGUGAUGGGAGGCUCUGCCUAGGCCGCCAUCCAGGCUCCCUGGGCUGCUGAGGCUCAGAGCUGCCUGGCUGUGUGGCCACAGGAGGGGGAGUCUGAGCUGGACUCAGCCUCUCCCUCUGGCUCUGCCCAUGAGGGAAGAGAAGUCGGGCCCCUCCAAGUCAGGAAGCACAUCAGAGCCUUGGCUGUCCCUUCCUGCCUGAGGCCUCAGUCUCCCCAUGUGUCAUCAGAGAGGGUUAGAUUAUAAGGUCUCAGCUCCUCUGCCCCCAGGUCUGGAGCCCAGAGCCUGGCCCAGGUCCAAGUCUGGUCUCUGGAAGGACCUGCCCACUGGCAGCAGUGCAACACUGGAAGAGGUGGGAUAGGGGCUAGUUCUGAGCUAAGGGGGCUGUUUCUGAUGGACUUUGGCUGUCUGCCUUCCAGGGAAUGUGCUCAGCUGUCAGAAUGAGGUAAGGAGCUGCGGCCUCACUGUGGUGAGAGUGGCUGUGUGGGAAUCAGAGAGCCCCCCUUUCAUAAGAAGCCCUCUAGCCCAAUCCCUGGGUUCGGGCAUUUAUUUGCAGAGUUCGAUAUACAGAGCUGGGGAUCCUAUGGUGUUGGCGGGCUGGGGAGGGCUGGCGUCAAGGACCGCUUACUGGUAGAGGAUCUAUUUCGGGACAACUGCAAGAACAGGCAUGUCCUGACUGGAAUUGCAGGGAAGGAGGGUUCCCAAGUUGGCAAAGGCCCCACACUGGCUCCUUGACCCCCUCCUCACCCCCACCAAGAGCCCUGCAGGGUCCCCCACACAGGCCAUGUCUCCAUC